UACGUAGGGGGCAAGCGUUGUCCGGAUUUAUUGGGCGUAAAGAGCGUGUAGGCGGCCAGGUAGGUCCGGUGUGAAAACUCGAGGCUUAACCUCGAGAUGUCAUCGGAAACCACCUGGCUAGAGUCCGGAAGAGGAGAGUGGAACUCCUGGUGUAGCGGUGGAAUGCGCAGAUAUCAGGAAGAACACCAACGGCGAAGGCAGCUCGCUGGGACGGUACUGACGCUGAGGCGCGAAAGCGUGGGGAGCGAACAGG
rnacentral:rRNA from 1 species